UAUGAACUGUAGGGACUACAGGGAUAGCCUAGGGUAUAUAAGAUAGAUAUAGCGAUUAAAUUCGAUCAUUUAUCUUUUUCUAGGAAAUUUCUAUUUUAAUAGAAAUAGUUCACUAAUUAUUAUUU
rnacentral:ncRNA from 1 species